UGCCAGCCGCCGCGGUAAUACGAAGGGGGCUAGCGUUGUUCGGAAUCACUGGGCGUAAAGCGCACGUAGGCGGACUGAUCAGUUGGGGGUGAAAUCCCAGGGCUCAACCCUGGAACUGCCUCCAAAACUAUCAGUCUAGAGUUCGAGAGAGGUGAGUGGAAUUCCGAGUGUAGAGGUGAAAUUCGUAGAUAUUCGGAGGAACACCAGUGGCGAAGGCGGCUCACUGGCUCGAUACUGACGCUGAGAUGCGAAAGCGUGGGGAGCAAACAGGAUUAGAUA
rnacentral:rRNA from 1 species